ACUCCUACGGGAGGCAGCAGUGAGGAAUAUUGCGCAAUGGGCGAAAGCCUGACGCAGCGACGCCGCGUGGGGGAUGAAGGUUUUCGGAUUGUAAACCCCUUUUGUGAGGAAAGAGAAAGUGGGCAACCACUUAGACGGUACCUCAAGAAAAAGCCACGGCUAACUUCGUGCCAGCAGCCGCGGCAAUACGAAGGUGGCGAGCGUUGUUCGGAUUUACUGGGCGUAAAGAGCACGUAGGCGGUUGGGUAAGCCUCCUGGGAAAUCUCCCGGCUUAACCGGGAAAGUUCGGGGGGAACUACUCAGCUAGAGGACGGGAGAGGAGCGCGGAAUUCCCG
rnacentral:rRNA from 1 species